GUGCUUGAUUCGGCAGCACGUAUGCUAAAAUUGGAACGAUACAGAGAUUAGCAUGGCCCCUGCACAAGGAUAGUAUGCAAAUUCAUGAAGCGUUCCAUUAAAAA